rnacentral:rRNA from 1 species
GCAUGCCUGUUCGAGCGUCAUUUCAACCCUCAAGCACCGCUUGGUUUUGGGGCCCCACGGCACACGUGGGCCCUUAAAGGUAGUGGCGGACCCUCCCGGAGCCUCCUUUGCGUAGUAACUAACGUCUCGCACUGGGAUUCGGAGGGACUCUUGCCGUAAAACCCCCAAAUUUUUUACAGGUUGACCUCGGAUCAGGUAGGAAUACCCGCUGAACUUAAGCAUAUCAAUAAGCGGAGGAAAAGAAACCAACAGGGAUUGCCCCAGUAACGGCGAGUGAAGCGGCAACAGCUCAAAUUUGAAAUCUNGNCCCCAGGCCCGAGUUGUAAUUUGCAGAGGAUGCUUUUGGCGCGGUGCCUUCCGAGUUCCCUGGAACGGGACGCCAUAGAGGGUGAGAGCCCCGUACGGUUGGACACCAAGCCUUUGUAAAGCUCCUUCGACGAGUCGAGUAGUUUGGGAAUGCUGCUCUAAAUGGGAGGUACAUUUCUUCUAAAGCUAAAUAUUGGCCAGAGACCGAUAGCGCACAAGUAGAGUGAUCGAAAGAUGAAAAGCACUUUGAAAAGAGGGUUAAACAGCACGUGAAAUUGUUAAAAGGGAAGCGCUUGUGACCAGACUUGCGUCCGGUGAAUCACCCAGCUCUCGCGGCUGGGGCACUUCGCCGGCACAGGCCAGCAUCAGCUUGCCGUCGGGGACAAAAGCUUCAGGAACGUGGCUCCUCUCGGGGAGUGUUAUAGCCUGUUGCAUAAUACCUUCGGCGGGCUGAGGUACGCCGUCCGCAAGGAUGCUGGCGUAAUGGUCAUCAGCGACCCGUCUUGAAACACGGACCAAGGAGUCAACCUUAUGUGCGAGUGUUUGGGUGUCAAACCCCUACGCGUAAUGAAAGU